rnacentral:rRNA from 1 species
GAUGAACGCUGGCGGCGUGCUUAACACAUGCAAGUCGAACGAUGAAGCCCAGCUUGCUGGGUGGAUUAGUGGCGAACGGGUGAGUAACACGUGAGUAACCUGCCCUUGACUCUGGGAUAAGCCCGGGAAACUGGGUCUAAUACCGGAUAGGAGCGCCUGUCGCAUGACGGGUGCUGGAAAGAUUUUUCGGUCAUGGAUGGACUCGCGGCCUAUCAGCUUGUUGGUGAGGUAAUGGCUCACCAAGGCGACGACGGGUAGCCGGCCUGAGAGGGUGACCGGCCACACUGGGACUGAGACACGGCCCAGACUCCUACGGGAGGCAGCAGUGGGGAAUAUUGCACAAUGGGCGGAAGCCUGAUGCAGCGACGCCGCGUGAGGGAUGACGGCCUUCGGGUUGUAAACCUCUUUCAGUAGGGAAGAAGCGAAAGUGACGUACCUGCAGAAGAG